rnacentral:ncRNA from 5 species
CAAAUUCGUGAAGCGUUCCAUAUUUUU